UGAGCCUGGCUGUCAAGGUCGCGUACUGUUUAGAGUAGGGCCCUACAAAAAUAGAAAGCUUCUUAAGAGAAGGGGAGGCAAGUCGUAACAUGUAAAGUG
rnacentral:rRNA from 1 species